UAGGGAAUCUUCGGCAAUGGACGAAAGUCUGACCGAGCAACGCCGCGCGAGUGAAGAAGGUUUUCGGAUCGUAAAACUCUGUUGUUAGAGAAGAACAAGGACGUUAGUAACUGAACGUCCCCUGACGGUAUCUAACCAGAACGCCACGGCUAACUACGUGCCAGCAGCCGCGGUACUACGUAGGUGGCAAGCGUUGUCCGGAUUUAUUGGGCGUAAAGCGAGCGCAGGCGGUUUCUUAAGUCUGAUGUGAAAGCCCCCGGCUCAACCGGGGAGGGUCAGUGGAAACUGGGGGAAUGGAGUGGAGAAGAGGAGAGUAGAAUUCGAUGUGUAGCGGUGAAAUGCGUAGAUAUAGGGAGGAACACCAGUGGAGAAGGCGGCUCUCUGGUCAGUAACUGACGCUGAGGCGAGAAAGCGUGGGGAGAAAACAGG
rnacentral:rRNA from 1 species